UACGUAGGGUGCGAGCGUUGUCCGGAAUUACUGGGCGUAAAGAGCUCGUAGGCGGUUUGUCACGUCGUCUGUGAAAUCCUAGGGCUUAACCCUGGACGUGCAGGCGAUACGGGCUGACUUGAGUACUACAGGGGAGACUGGAAUUUCUGGUGUAGCGGUGGAAUGCACAGAUAUCAGGAAGAACACCGAUGGCGAAGGCAGGUCUCUGGGUAGUAACUGACGCUGAGGAGCGAAAGCAUGGGUAGCGAACAGGAUUAGAUACCCGUGUAGUCC
rnacentral:rRNA from 1 species